ensembl:lncRNA
UCUCAGUGCUGCUGCUGCUGCUGCUGCUAAGUCGCUUCAGUCGUGUCCAACUCUAUGCGACCCCAUAGAUGGCAGCCCACCAGGCUCCUCCAUCCCUGGGAUUCUCCAGGCAAGAAUACUGGAGUGGGUUGCCAUUUCCUUCUCAGUGCUGCUGCUGCUGCUAAGUCACUUCAGUCGUGUCCGACUCUGUGCACCCCACAGAUGGCAGCCCACCAGGCUCCCCCAUCCCUGGGAUUCUCCAGGCAAGAAUACUGGAGUAGGUUGCCAUUUCCUUCUCCAAUGCAUGAAAGUGAAAAGUCAAAGUGAAGUCGCUCAGUCAUGUCCGACUCUUAGCGACCUCAUGGACUGCAGCCUACCAGGCUCCUCCAUCCAUGGGAUUUUUUUCCAGGCAAGAGUACUGGAGUGGGGUGCCAUUGCCUUCUCCUUCUCAGUGCUAAAGACCCCUAAAAAUCCCUUUUCAUCUUAACAGUAUAGCUCUAUAUAGUUACUAUCACUGCUUAAUAAUUCUUUAUAUUAAGCUUCCCUGUUUAAAUUACUGUGUAGUUUCCUGUCUUCUGGUUAAACACAGACUGCCCUGGCCCUGCUUCUUUCCUCUUCUGCUGUGGACUCUGCCUGUCUGCAUAGAGGGUACAGCAUGCAUUGCCUAGGCCACAUCAUGAGAGUGGGGAUUAAGAGUCUGUUUUUGCCAUUGUCAAGGUUCACCAGGUCAGUCUCUUUACUUCUGGAAUCCAGUCGGAAAUACCAUUGGACUCCCACACAGACCAGCCUCCAGUUUGCAUUUAUCUAUAAUAAAGCUUUUAGAAGGAGAAAAAUCCAAACUUGUCACAACACGAUCUAUAAGAAUAAAUAAGAAAACGAUGCUCACUCUCCAGACUAAGGGGACUUAAUACCUCGACCCAAGACGGCUGGAACUUGGAAGAAGUUUCUGUGAAGCAGUAGUGAGAUGGGCAGAAUUGGAAGUGUCAUGAGAGAGGGCUGCAAAUACAGCACUUCCUGCUGUACUCAAGCCACCAUCCCAGUGGUCAUACCCAC